rfam:Ovis aries breed Texel chromosome 9, whole genome shotgun sequence.
UCCCUGGUGGCUCAGAGGUUAAAGCAUCUGCCUGGAAUGCGGGAGAACCGGGUUCGAUCCCUGGGUUGGGAA